rnacentral:misc_RNA from 1 species
CUUUAAAACUUCCUUCCAUUCCACAGCUUUUGCUUCUCACUUGUCACUUCAUUUCUUCUUCUUAUUUCCUGUCCACGCCUCUCUACCACAACUAGAAGCGAACUGUUUGCCUCUGCCUUCAGUCCACGCUCCGUUUGCGCAGGUUGCGAAACCCCUUUGGUUCCUCGUUUUCUCUAUUAGUUUCUAAGAAAGCAAAGGAAUUCCAUAAGCAAAAAGGAAUAAUGCAACAAACAGAAGCCAUUCAAGCUAAUAAGAAGCAUGUUUUGGCUGACUUGGGGAAAUCCAAUGAUGAAACUACAAAAGAUUUAGAAGAAUGGCGAAAUCUGGAGAGUGAAAUGAAGCAGGCGAUU